rnacentral:lncRNA from 1 species
CUACUCUAACAUGUUAUUUCUUUCAUAGUUUUUGCAGAAAACCACCUGUAGCUACAAGGGAUGAUAAAAAUGAAAACAUCUGGUCAAGAGGAAUCAUAUCAAGCAAGAUCAGCACAGGCAGACCAUGAUCAUCACCUAGAUCAACACGGCAUCAAGUAGUAGUCUAAUUGGACAGCUCCUUAUUACAGCCUUGGUUAUACUGUCUCCUGCCACCCCCACGCCUGCUGUUUCCAAACUAAAAAGCAAAGGCCUUCAGAGUUCUCCCAGUCAAGGUUAGUGUUUA